rnacentral:lncRNA from 1 species
CACACCUAGUACCAGAGAAGAAUGUUGUCUUUGCACUCUAGAAAGUUCAGCAGAGGGAACACCCUAAGGACUUGGCAGAGAGGGGUAUUUCCAAACCUCCCAGGUGUAUUUCUGAAGGAUCCUCCUAUUCCAAGCUAAUUCUACUUGAAAGAGAUCAAGUCUGCCUCGGUAGCAGAAAAUCUGGAAUGGCUGAAGAAUAUUGGCUCAGCUGAAGAGAAUGUGUUAUAAGAUAAGUUGUUACUUGAAAUUCAACUACUCAGGUCUUGUGUCUUAAGGAUUUUGUGCAAGGUCUUCCUGUGUCCUGUCCCAGAGCAUCUUCAAAGGGAGCCAGUAUGCACUUCAUGGAAGGCAGAUUGCCACAUGCAGAGCCUCAUUUGGAUGUAUCUGGAGUCUUGGAAGCUUGUUUGCCCUAUGUUCUCCUACAAAUGGACCUUGGGAGCUCAUUCUAGUAGAGCAGUAGAGCUACCUGUAUACCCUUGACUGAAGAAUGGGGGUGGGGGAGGUGGUCUUCUUUGACCAAGCAUGCAGUGUUGGGAGGGAUGCACAUGGAGAGAUGAGGGAGGAGUGGGCCAACCACCUAGACAUCCAGAUCAGGUGAAGCAACCCUGGAGAGAUCAAUAGGCUGACAUGCCGCAGGCAAAACAUAGCUUAAAUGCCCUCCAUGAAAGCCUUCUCUUUUCUCCUAGCUGGAAAUGUUCUCCCAUCUUCUGUAUUUGGAGUU